AUUGAACGCUGGCGGCAGGCCUAACACAUGCAAGUCGAACGGUAGCACAGAGAGCCUGCUCUCGGGUGACGAGUGGCGGACGGGUGAGUAACGUCUGGGAAACUGCCCGAUGGAGGGGGAUAACUACUGGAAACGGUAGCUAAUACCGCAUAACGUCGCAAGACCAAAGUGGGGGACCUUCGGGCCUCACACCAUCGGAUGUGCCCAGAUGGGAUUAGCUAGUAGGUGGGGUAAUGGCUCACCUAGGCGACGAUCCCUAGCUGGUCUGAGAGGAUGACCAGCACAACUGGAACUGAGACACGGUCCAGGCUCCUACGGGAGGCAGCAGUGGGGAAUAUUGCACAAUGGGCGCAAGCCUGAUGCAGCCAUGCCGCGUGUAUGAAGAAGGCCUUCGGGUUGUAAAGUACUUUCAGCGGGGAGGAAGGCGGUGAAGUUAAUAACUUCACCGAUUGACGUUACCCGCAGAAGAAGCACCGGCUAACUCCGUGCCAGCCGCCGCCGUAA
rnacentral:rRNA from 1 species